rnacentral:rRNA from 1 species
CUACGGGAGGCAGCAGCUAAGAAUAUUCCGCAAUGGGGGAAACCCUGACGGAGCGACGCCGCGUGGACGAUGAAGGCCGGAAGGUUGUAAAGUCCUUUUAUACCUGAGGAAUAAGGGAAGCAGGAAACGGCAUUCCGGUGACUGUAGGGUAUGAAUAAGCAACGGCUAAUUACGUGCCAGCAGCCGC